UGAUGGGGGAAAAUUAGAAGAGGGGAAGGGUAGCUCACCCAGCAGGCGGUCACAGAAGGCUUCCAGGAAGAAGUGGAUUCUAAGAUCUACAUGAAGACCUAAAAGUGUUAAAAAGAUCUUCAAUGAGAAUGUCUUUAAGAGAGCCCCUGACUCUGGGAAUAGAAACAAAGCCACAUCUCUGAACUUACUCCUCCCAGGAACCUGGAUAUCAGUGGGCAUCAACCCUUCAGAGUGAAGGAAAUUGAUCUGUUCCCAGUACAGAAA